rnacentral:rRNA from 1 species
UGGGGAAUAUUGGACAAUGGGGGCAACCCUGAUCCAGCGAUGCCGCGUGUGUGAAGAAGGCCUUAGGGUUGUAAAAUCCUUUCGUUGGGGACGAUAAUGACGGUACCCAAAGAAGAAGCUCCGGCUAACUACGUGCCAGCAGCCGCGGUAAUACGUAGGGUGCGAGCGUUAAUCGGAAUUACUGGGCGUAAAGCGUGCGCAGGCGGCGACAUAAGACAGAUGUGAAAUCCCCGGGCUCAACCUGGGAACUGCGUUUGUGACUGUGUUGCUAGAGUGUAGCAGAGGGGGGUGGAAUUCCACGUGUAGCAGUGAAAUGCGUAGAGAUGUGGAGGAACACCGAUGGCGAAGGCAGCCCCCUGGGUUAACACUGACGCUCAUGCACGAAAGCGUGGGGAGCAAACAGGAUUAGAUACCCGGGUAGUCCCUGAGCGGGCUGGCAAGGCGCAU